rnacentral:lncRNA from 1 species
UUGCCUUGAUUUGUUAGCGAUCAGUUAGAAUUUUGAAUUAGAGCCUGCUGAAGCAUUUACUAUUUGAUUGAUAAAUUUUUCCUGUAAUUGGGAUAAAAACUCUUGACUUAAUUAAUGUAAAGGAAGAACAUUUUGAGCAAUGUUGUAAUGUGAUUGCAUUGCUGAGAUAAACUUAUCUUGUUUUGGUAUUCUAAAUAUCCAAAUGGACUGUACACUAGGCUAUACAGGUCAAAUUUUGAUGGUAAUGGAACAUUUUUCUUUCCUAAUUUUACUUUCAUCUCUUUUUAGACGAAGCAUAUGGUUAAUGCAACCCACUAACAAAAGAAAAGCUGUUGGUAUUAUUGGUGUUGGAGAGCUGGUUGUCUUCAUGUGAACCGUGAACACUUUUUAUCUCCCAUAUCCAAGAUAUAAACAUCUUUAUG